CACGGUCUGUCAGUCUACCUAUGGAGAAAUAUACAGCAGAAUACCUGGGGGCAUAACGCAACACAUCUGUCGGGGGAUCACCCCAGUUUAGUAUUUCCCCAAACCUCUGUGUCUGUGCGUGUAAGAAAAAGCCAUAGGAAGAUCAACCCAAGUAUUUCUCCUGACAUACAACAGAGGGUGAAACAAAAUACCUUUAUCUGCGUGUGUCCAGGAUAACCUGAUGUGUGCGUGCCAGAACACCUCUGUGUGGACACGAAGAUCAGCCAGUAUCGCUUCUGAGGCGUGAGUGAGAGAGAGAGCCGGUAUUUCUUGAGAAAGGCAACAAGACACCACAGUAGACAGAGAGAAAAGGAGCCAAAGACAGGAAAGGAAGGAAAAACCCCCCAUGAGAUGCAUUUUUCAAGUCCACAGCCACCGUGCACAACCAGAAAGAUGGUUUUGAGAGGAUGGAGCUGCUGUGACCACUGAAGCACCUCAUUACAGCUCACAUCUUACUCUCCAAAUCCAAAACCAUCAACAAAACAGAGGAGAUCUGCCUCCCCCACCUCUACAACAAACCGGUGCUUGAGCCUGAUGGAACACAGCUGUCGGCUGUACUACAGGUCAUAGAUACUGCUGAAAUUAAAUCUACCGUUCCCAGCCUACAGACCACCAUGAUUGAGAUUCAGAGCGCACUACAGGCUCUACCCGGACGGCUGGGUGAAGCAGAACACAGCAUUUCUGAGGUGGAAGAUGAUUUCAAAGAAAGCGAAGUACAGGUUAUGAAGAACUGUAAUGAUAUCAAGACUAUGAAGGCCAACCUAAUUGAUCUAGAAAGCCACUCACGAUGAUCAGGACGCAGACAGUCUGGUUUUUGGCUUCUGUGACCCGGUGCCAUUUAGGCUUGCCAGUGCCUGGUUUUUGACCAGAAAGUCUGGUUGAAAAGGGGACCUGGCAACCCUAUAUGAUACCCGAACCAAAAGUCCAGUUACCACUGCGUGGGAGGAGGCAUUGGGUCAUUAACCUGGGCCAGCACCAGUUCAGCGGGGCUGCCUCCUACCUGCAGGCAAGUUCUUUGAGACAAUGCAGCAAGUGACAGA